CUCAGCAGGAAGAAGAUGAGAAGCUGACCCCUGGUUCUUUUUCUUUUCCCAGAUGCCUUUGCCUACAAGAUACUGUGCUAAGGAGCCAAUCCAUCUUACUUCAGAGUUAAAAGAACUUCCAGCUGGAUUAAACAGAUUGGUGUCAAUUUUCAAACGUGCUGAUCAAAUGCAUGAAGGGAUCUGCUGAUGGAUGUCUCCAGAAGGAAAAAAGGAGCUCUGAGCGUAGGAAGUACAUUCUGUUGUCACUGGGAUCUCAUUCAGUGUGUGUCUAUCUAGUCUAUUCAACUUUCCUGCUCCCAUUCUUUUCCUUCUUUUUAUUCACUCCGUUUUCCAUGAUUUAUCCCCCAUACAUGCCAAUUUACCUGAUCCUCAAUUCUUUCCUAACCAUUCUCAGCAAUAGUGCUUGAAGAACACUGACAAGAAUAUGAAAUUAGUGAUGCCCAUACUUCAUUUGAAACAUGUCUACCUUCUCUGCAUUUUUAAUUUAACCAUAGAACUGUACUUUUUAUUUUACCGAUAGAAUUUCGGGAAUUCUAGCCACUCAUGCUAACCUACUUUCUUUCUUUCUUUAUUGUUUUUGUCCAUAUCUUAUUCACAGAAUGGAAACACAACAGCUGCAAGUCAUGUAGUUCUGGUGGCAUUUUUUUCUCUUACAUAUCUGAGUUGCUACAAUUAUAUAUGCAUAUCAGUCUCUCACUUUCAUACAUUAAACAUAUGUAUCAAACACUUGGGAACAAGAGGUGUUUACGUAAUAUGUGGAUGUAUUAUUCCAAAUGGCUAGUAUUUUGACAAUCACACCUCUCUAGUAAGCACUGUCAUUGGGAACAAAUAACUAUUUGGAUGACACAUGUGCAUAUUAGUCAGAUGAAGGUGUGAUUGCUGUUUCGCUUGCCAAGAGAAAAAAAACAGAUUUAAAGAUAAAACUGUAGCUAUCUCACAGGAUCCAAAAGAAAGAAACAACUUUAAAAAAUAUCAAAAGGAGCAGGGAAAGAGCUAAUAUAAUUAGUUAAUAUAGUUUAAAUACAUACUCUGUGUAAUGGAUUGUGUAAGAUGCUGCAAAUAUUUCUCAUUUCUUUCUCAAACAUGCUGAUAGACACUUAUCAGUAAUUCUUGCUGACAUUGUCCCUCCGCUUUAAUAGAGGCAGAUAGAGGCAGAUGAAGUCAAGUCACUUGCCCAAGGACACAUACUGCAUCACUGACGUGAAUUCACUUCCAUCUGACUCAGAGCCCUGGCCCACUUUACCACCUCACAUUUCCUCUCUAGGAGAGGCCACAGGUAAUCUUGGACCUGUCUCCAUCUCAGUCAGCUAGUCUACACACCCUCAGUCUACUUAUUUGAGGAAGCUUUGAAACAAAUCAUUCAUUGCUAAAGAGCCAGAUAGAACAGUAUUAAUUUACAUUCUUAGUUUCUUUCUGUAUGGGUAUCUGUCUGUUACCAGCCACAUCUUCUACCUAUUUCUAUUUCCCUUAAGAUCAAGGCCAGGUAGAGCUAAUAUUUGGAGUCACAUGAAAAACACAUAUUUAUUUAUUUGUUUUUUGUUGAAGUACAGCUGAUUUAUAAUAUAUUAGUUUCAGGUGUACAACAUAGUGAUUCAAUAUUUUUAUAGAUUACACUGCAUUUAAAGUUAUUAGAAAAUAAUGGCUAUACUUCCCUGUGCUGUACAAUAUAUCCUUGUUGCUUAUUUAUUUUACACAUCGUAGUUUGUAUCUCCUAAUCCCCUAUCCCUAUCUUGCCCUUUCCCUCCUCCCUCUCCCCACUAGUAACCACUAGUUUGUUCUCUGUAUCUGUGAGACUGUUUGUUUUGUUAUAUACAUUUGUUUGAAAAGAAACACAUUUAAAUCAGGUGUCUAUCUCUUACAAACUAUAUGAUCUUGGGCCAUUUACUAAACGUCUGUGAAUGUGUUUUGUUUAUAUUUACAGAAUGAUCGGAUGAUGAUACCUAUCUAAUAUAAGCGUUCUUCAGAAGAUAAGCUGUAAUAACAUGUAGACAUUCCAUGUUCAAUCCCUACACUCAGUUGGCAUAUGAUUUAUUUUAUCUUCUUUCUUAUCCUUCUUUCUUAUCCUAAGUUCAAUUAUUAUAUCUCUGUGCCAGUGUGAAUCCCAAAGUGAUAGCUUAAAUAAGUAUAUAGGACUAGGGGAUGUUGAUGGAUUUCUUUGAUGGCAGAAUUAAAGCAAUUAGUAACUGGAGCUAUAUCAGCCAAAAAAGUAUGGGCUGUUUUUCAGGACAUUCCAUUAAAACCAAAGUGCUGAGUUUAACUGUCAGACUGAAAUUCUCAGCAUUAACACCAACAAUAUUUAUUACCACUAUUCCUAAAUUCAAAGUAGUAAGCCUGCAGUGGGUAGUUUCCAUGUGUAAAACGGGUUGUUGUGUAUUUGUGUGUACAGUUAUUUUAAAACAGUAUAUAUUGAUGCUUUUCAGGUUUACCUGCGAUUCCUGAGAGCCCGCAUAAUUACGUGAUGGCACUGUUCAUAACUCAACCGAUGAUGCAAUCAUUUUAAUAGCGACAUGUUUCAGUACAAAUAAAUACAAUUCAGAGAAAAUCUUUCAUGAAUAUUCCCCAAGGAACUGAAAAAAUGUUAUGUGAAGCAAGAUAUUGCUAUGGGAGGUUUAUAUUGUCUGUACUGUGCUUUGGCAAAGCUUUGGGAUACAGUCAAUAAACAGGUUGGCUGUAAAUUUGUUUCACUGGUUAAUUAAAUCCAAGAGUUCGCAAGAAAGGCUGUCAUAUUAUGUUGAAUUUCAUUUCUUAAAACACAUUGAUCUUAUGGAAUUUGUUUACAAGUUCUGAGAGGGUAGU